rnacentral:rRNA from 1 species
GCACAAGCGGUGGAGUAUCGUGGUUUAAUUCGAUGCAACGCGAAGAACCUUACCUGGUCUUGACAUCCCGGAGACCCUUAGGAAACUAGGGGGUGCUUCCAUCUGGAAGAAUCUGGAGACAGGUGCUGCAUGGCUGUCGUCAGCUCGUGUCGUGAGAUGUUGGGUUAAGUCCCGCAACGAGCGCAACCCUUGCCUUUAGUUGCCAGCAGUUCGGCUGGGCACUCUAAAGGGACUGCCGGUGUUAAACCGGAGGAAGGUGGGGAUGACGUCAAGUCCUCAUGGCCUUUAUGACCAGGGCUACACACGUACUACAAUGGCCGAUACAAAGGGCAGCGACACUGCGAGGUGAAGCCAAUCCCGUAAAAUCGGUCUCAGUCCGGAUUGGAGUCUGCAACUCGACUCCAUGAAGUUGGAAUCGCUAGUAAUCGUGGAUCAGCAUGCCACGGUGAAUACGUUCCCGGGCCUU